rnacentral:misc_RNA from 1 species
GUAGGUGAACCUGCGGAGGGAUCAUUACAACGUAUCCAACGUAUAAACCUUUGUGAACUCUGUUUAUUUAAAACCAUCUAUCGAAAGUUGUGAACAGGACGAGAGGGAAAUGCUCGGCCGGUUCAUGCAUACACUUUCUUUGGGUGUGCGUUUCCCAUUACCAAUUAUUAACCUUUUGUAAAUUUCAAUUUGUAUUUAAAUUUUCCUUAUGAGAAAUCAUAUGGGGAAGUUUCUUAUAUUAUUUAAGAAAUUAUACGCACAACUCUUAGCAACGGAUAUCUAGGCUCUC